rnacentral:rRNA from 1 species
CGAACGGGUGAGUAACGCGUGAGGAACCUGCCUCAAAGAGGGGGACAACAGUUGGAAACGACUGCUAAUACCGCAUAAGCCCACGGCUCGGCAUCGAGCAGAGGGAAAAGGAGCAAUCCGCUUUGAGAUGGCCUCGCGUCCGAUUAGCUAGUUGGUGAGGUAACGGCCCACCAAGGCGACGAUCGGUAGCCGGACUGGGAGGUUGAACGGCCACAUUGGGACUGAGACACGGCCCGG